rnacentral:lncRNA from 10 species
CAUAGUAUAAACAGCAUUGGUGCUGAAUGAGAAAUACUGCAGGGAAAUUAAUGGAGUUGUUUUAGUAGUUGUUGAAACAGUAUGAUUUUAAAGAAGCAGAUUCCAAAAAAAUAUGAAAAAUGUAACUCUAGGGGCAGAUUAUUUAAAAGGGAAAAUGUACAUAUUUCAUAUUAUGGUAUUUAUAAAUCAUCCAGGAAUUCAUGAGAUUCCUCCCCCAACCUCCUGCUCUUGUUGACAAUGUAAAACAAACCACAGUUAGCCUGGGAAUUAUCUUUACGGAAUAUAUCAGCAUAUUGUUUUGAGUUUUUGCACUGCAUGUAUUAAUCAACCAAGAACACAUGUCUUGGUUCAGUAAAAAUUUGCAGAAAGCUAGGCAUCCUAUUAAAAGAAUCUGUUGACGUUUAUCCCCCCAGCUAGCUUUUCCUAUUUUGUAACUACAAAGAAUAUUAGUGUUUCUUUACUUUUCAGAAUCAUCUACUCAGAAAGACUUCUAGCAGUGUCCUCGACAGGAAGUCACCACUGUGCUGAGGCAAGGCAGUGGGUCUUUAGGAGGUCAGGUUUCUUCCCACCCUUUGACUGCUCUGCCUGUAGAUGUGUCAGCUCUUAUCCCACUUCUGCUGAGAAGAGCAUCCUUCAGCCGUGACACUAAACUUGUGUGAGGAUGAUGCAGAGAGGCUGGGCACAGGCCACAUAGGCUCACCCUCUACCACUAUCUUGGACAUAUUAGGUUCCUACAUGAUGGGGAGAUCAGGAGGGCUAGGGGAGCCUAGUUAUAGUUGCUUUAUUGGAACUGUCUGGCAUAGAAGAAGACAUUCAGAGGGCAAUAAAGAUCAGACUUUUUCAGAGGCAAACAGGUGAACUUCCAGUGAUUUAUUCUUAGUUAACCAACCUUCAACCAACUGAUAAGAUAAACAGUAUCCCUAAUGCUGAUCCUAAAGCAUUCGAGAUCCUGAAGUAUCUUCAGCAUUAUCAAAAAGGAUUAAAUUGUAUUGUGGUAAACAAUGAUAUUUUAAUUUUAAAAAUUUAUUAUAAUCCUCUAAACCCAUGCUCUCCAAACUUUCUUAUUUUAUGCUUGAAUCGGUUGUAAAAAUUGUCAUCCCCUAAUAUAUUUAUAUUUAUUUAUUUAUAAAUUAUACGUAUUAAUACCCUACUAAAAUUUUCAUGAUAAAACAUAUACAAAUAUAAAAUAUUUUAAAGGGCAAGAAUGUUUUCUUGAUUUUAAAAUUUAAUAAGUAGAAAUAAAGGAAUACUGUUUUAAUAUUUAAAAAAAAGCUUUUUAUCUGAGCUCAUCAUGCCUACUAACAAAGUAUUUAGAAGCAUUUAUGCUGAAGUAAGGACAGGAAAAAUGACACUGUCACUACUAUUAUUGAAUAUUGUUCUAGAGAUACUAGCUCUAAUUAGGAAAGACAAACAAAUUAGAAUAUUUGAAAGUAAUACAUUAACAGAAUAUGGUAAGUAUCAUUUAUGUUGGCAAAUAAAUUCACGUGUGAAAAACCUGAAAGAACGAACUACAAAACAUUCUUCAACAAUAAAAGAAUAAAUAUAUAGAAAUCAGUAGCCAUGACAAAUACAGAUGGCAGCCAGUUAGAAGGUGUACUGGAAGGUAAUGCCUCAUUUACCCUGAGUAAAACAAGAUCAAAUAUCUAGGAAUAAAUAUAAGAAUCAUGUCUGAUAGGCAAGCAGAAAUUGAAGGAACCCCAAAAGUUUGAACAAAUAAAAAGACACACUAUAUUUUGAUUAGGAAGACAGCA